UACGAAGGGGGCUAGCGUUGUUCGGAAUGACUGGGCGUAAAGGGCGCGUAGGCGGCGCAUCAAGUCGGGCGUGAAAGCCCCGGGCUCAACCUGGGAACUGCGUUCGAGACUGGUGCGCUGGAGUUCGGGAGAGGAGAGUGGAAUUCCCAGUGUAGAGGUGAAAUUCGUAGAUAUUGGGAAGAACACCAAUGGCGAAGGCAGCUCUCUGGACCGAUACUGACGCUGAGGCGCGAAAGCGUGGGGAGCAAAC
rnacentral:rRNA from 1 species